GAUCGAGACAAAUUAGGAGAAAAUUCAAACAUAAACACAGAAAAUCUAUUACAGAAAGGCUCACCGAUCCAUUCGGCGAGUCGCCGAACCUAUUUGGCGAGCUAAGUCGGGCUCGCCGAAGGGAUUGGCUUAAAAAUUAUACCAAGUCGGCGAUGAGAAGGCCCUUUCUGCGAAUCGCCUACUACUUUCGGCGAUCAUGGGUUAGCCUGCCAAAAGUUACAGUGUAACAGAGGUUCAGGGGAGCAUACAAAGGGCGAUCAAGAGUACUUUCAGUGACCAAAGGAUUCUAGCCGAAA
rnacentral:lncRNA from 1 species